GAUGAACGCUGGCGGCGUGCCUAAUACAUGCAAGUCGAGCGAACAGACGAGGAGCUUGCUCCUCUGACGUUAGCGGCGGACGGGUGAGUAACACGUGGAUAACCUACCUAUAAGACUGGGAUAACUUCGGGAAACCGGAGCUAAUACCGGAUAACAUGUUGAACCGCAUGGUUCAACAGUGAAAGACGGUCUUGCUGUCACUUAUAGAUGGAUCCGCGCCGCAUUAGCUAGUUGGUAAGGUAACGGCUUACCAAGGCAACGAUGCGUAGCCGACCUGAGAGGGUGAUCGGCCACACUGGAACUGAGACACGGUCCAGACUCCUACGGGAGGCAGCAGUAGGGAAUCUUCCGCAAUGGGCGAAAGACUGACGGAGCAACGCCGCGUGAGUGAUGAAGGUCUUCGGAUCGUAAAACUCUGUUAUUAGGGAAGAACAAAUGUGUAAGUAACUAUGCACGUCUUGACGGUACCUAAUCAGAAAGCCACGGCUAACUACGUG
rnacentral:rRNA from 1 species